GCGUUUCGCGAGUAAGCCCCUAGACCUUUUGAAAUCUUACAAUGAUACCCCUACACUUUGCGCUAAGGACCCUGAAAGAAAAAGAGGAUUGCAAUGUGGUCCCCGACACUCUGCCGGCAGCUUGCCGGCGCGAUUCCGGCGAAGUCCGGCGGGGAGGGGGUGAAAGAAGGGCAUGGGUAUGGUCAGUAGCUCACUGAGAGUCGGCACGCUGUGGAGGUCGAGGGCAGAGGGUGGCCAGCGGCAUCUGUCCACGACGCAGCUUCAGGCGUGGUGGAGGGGCUCCAGCACGGGUGGUGGCUGAGAUGGCUGGGAAGUUGCUCGGGGAGCUGCAACGGUGCACGUGUGGUUCACCGGAGGGCUUAGACCGUGGCUGGGAUGCCCGGAGAGGAGGGAUCCAGGGCGAGGUGCUAUGGCGGCACUUCG
rnacentral:lncRNA from 1 species